AUGUGGCUGAACUGAAAGGAGGUCUUCAGCCGGGCACCACUUGAUCGGCAUAUCAAGAUUUCAUGGUCCCAUGUAUGGGGUCAUUUUUAUUUAUGCCACAAAGGUCAGAAACUAGUCAAUAACAAGGCGCCUCUACGAUUAUACGCCAUCAAGGAUGAAGAUCAGCUUCAGUUUGUCCAGAAUCAAUCAUCAACAAACCAGCCGGACAAACGAAGGGAUGGCAUGCUUCUUAUCGACAGCUUGUGACAUAAGGUUAUUUGUCCUUGAACAGAUGAUGAUGGAGGAGAGUCACUGGAAACUGCGCUGAAAGAGAGAAACUCGAGAUGUUUUAAACCCUCAGGUUCACAAUUUUAUGGUAGGUUGUAAAGGAAAAUCCGAACCUUCAAAGUGCUCAGGGGAUUUUGUGUAGGCCAAAGAUGAGUUUAGCCGUGUAAAGUUUCAUGAACUGAAAACCAUUUUUUAUGAAUUCAAUUUUCUGUUUUGAAUCAGAGCGGCAGAAUACAAGUUUCUACUGCAUCUAGGACGGCAAAUAUAUUCCGUCUCAUGUUCUCGUUACGCCAAAGAUUCAAUUAACCUUACAUAGCAGAUAGAACAUGAGGUGCAGGGGAAGCUCAUUCUCUCUGGCAAAAAAUGCUCAAUUUCACAAUUUGUCAAGGCAAAAUAAGUAGUAAAGAAAUCUGCUUGUCUUGAGCAUAUACAACAAAGAAAUUCCCUGGCUGAGACCUGUGAAGGAAGAAAAUUUGUAUCGCUCAGAUUUUGAUUCGAGUAAAGAAUCAACAGCUUCACAGCCGCAACAGAACUUUCAUGUGUGAUGGCAAACAUAUUCUGGAGGAGUUACUGGUAUCACUACGCCGAUGCUUUCCACAUACAUGAACCAGUAAAACUACUUCACUGUACCCUUUCAUGGGAAUUAUUUGCAGAAUAAGUAUAUCAGGUAAGAUUUUAUUCGCGUUUAAAGGCAGUGAAAAUAUGGAAUAUAUGACGAUAU